UGGAGAGAUGGGAUGAGGAAUGGUCCCUGUUCUCUGACUAAAUAGAGGACUUUUGUUGCCAGGGAGUAUUGAUCCUGGACUCUUCAUCGGUGCUGAAGUGACAUGCAGGAAGGAAGAAAGGAAACUCUCUGUGACCCAGCAAUGUUGUUUCUUGGAGAACAAGACUGAAUGGGAACGCCUACACCUCUUUGUGGCUAACCUGUCUCCAUUCAGGGGGCACUACCAGCUGCCCCACUCCACCGGAGUAGGAGCUUACCAGCAGUGGUGGCACGUGCCCAGAUCUCCACAGGAAACGUGAACGGAGCUACCCUGAAAUACAGUGGAGACCAUUGACCAGCAACUAACCCUUUAACGACUGUCGGCCCCGGGGAGAAGGACUAGUGGCUGGAACUGGAGACAAAGAACAGAGAUGAGUCCAGCCUGUGGGGACAACGUUCUUAUUUCCAUCCAUCCUCCUCCGGGAUACAGUAUACCCCAGGCUCAGAUCCUCAGAAGAAUUUGGGCUCCUACCUCCCAUUGAUUUCAAUACCUUUGAGGAUCUAGCCCCCAGUCCUUCCCAGUGCUCUUUGGCUGAGUGAUGUAGACUGAACUGACAAGGAAAUGCAUCUGGUGGACCGGUCCUAAAGCUAAGGAGCCCUUACAGCAAGCAUUCUACUUAUUGACAUUUUAUUCUGCUGCUUAGCAGAGCCACGGUACCUGUAAUAAAGACUUACGGAACUGUAGCAGCAUGUUCUCGUUGAUCCCAUUCAUGUGACAUUGGUAGGAGGGCCAACGACGGAGAAAGGAAACCAGG